rnacentral:rRNA from 1 species
GGCUCUUUGAAAUAAAUAUAUAAAGAGUCGAACCUGCCCAGUGAUUUUUUAAACGGCCGCGGUACUCUGACCGUGCAAAGGUAGCAUAAUCAUUUGCCCUAUAAUUGAGGGCUAGUAUGAACGGUUUGACAAGAGCAUAACUGUCUCUUUAAAAUUUUAUAAAAUUUGGUUUUUAGGUGAAGAAACCUAAAUGAAAUUGAAAGACAAGAAGACCCUAUCGAGCUUUAGAGUAAUUAAUUAAAAAAUAUGAUUAAAAUAAUUAAUUUUAAUUUAAAAACUUUGGUUGGGGCGACUGAGGAACAUAUAAAGCUUCUUCUAUUAAAAUGUGCCUGUAAGCUAUGAUCCAAAAAUUUUGAUUAAAAAAAUUAGUUACCGUAGGGAUAACAGCAUAAUCUUUUUCAAGAGUUCUUAUCGAAAAAAAGGUUUGUGACCUCGAUGUUGGACUAGGAUAUCCUAAAGAUGCAGAAGUCUUUAAAAGUUGGUCUGUUCGACCAUUAAAAUCCU